UUUUUAUACAGUGUAGAUUACUGCUGCACUUGAUAAAAUCAGUUCUUGCAGUUUCUAAGCCAUACUAACAUAUCUCGAUCUGUAGAAAUCUCUUCUAAGAAGAGUUAUCCCUCAAGGCACAAGAUAACAGAUUCAUCACAUUCGGACAAACAUCAGUUGCACUCAAAUCAGAGAUGGGAAGGAAAAGACUCUAAAAGAUUACCUGAAGCAUCAAAUUAUGGAGAUCGGAAGGGACAUGAGUCCAGCAAAGGCAAAUAUAAGAUGAAGACUCCUGUGAAAUAUAGAGAAGGGGCAAGUGUUUCUGAGCCACUGUCGCCUUCUGCAGAGGAUGCCAGUGAUGAUGACAUGCAUGUUAUGGUAACUGCUAGAGGGGCUAAUGGCAGUAGUCAAAAGAUAUUAGCUGCUGAAAAAUCUUUUGGGAAAGAUGGAUUGCAUAGGACUCAUCCGUCUGCAUGCUUGGUAGACAGUGAAUCUCAGCAAGAUGGUGCUUCUGGUGGAAGUUCUGUUCGACCAUUCAUGCCAUCACAGUCAAAGGUUAUCUUCAAACUUUAUUCCUCUUCAGUGUCUCUCCUCUCUUCGCCCGUGUGUCUGUAGGGGUGCUUUUUGUUCUGUGGAUUGUCUGUCAGUGUGACAAUGUGUCACUAAAUUGAAGGGUAACAUGGCUGUAGAUAGGUUUCUGAUCGCUCUUGUCUAACUCACAGGGAAGUGAAGUGAACUACCCUGAGCAUUUCCUUUCAGACUGUAGUUUAGGUGCUAAUCUAGGUCAGUUGAAGCAAGAGAAUCACGAAUUAAAGAAAAGGUGGGUUAUUCUGCCUUUCUGAAACUUUGAGAUUUGUCUAAUGUUUGUCCUUGUAGUUCAUGGCUGCAUGUCACGUGCAUUUUUAUCUUUCUAUUUCUAGGUUAGAGAAGAAGGAAGGAGAGCUUCAAGAAGAACGAGAAAGGUGUAGAUCACUUGAAGCUCAGGUAUGUGCCAUUACUCUUUCAAAUUUUAUCAUGCUGUAUCUAUUUAGACCUUUUGUCAGCAAUGACUUGUACCGUGUAGGUAUUUUUUGUUUGUCCUUGGUAUCGUGGACAUACUAUAGGAUCUGCAUUUGGCUGUUGCUGUUUCUAUCUAAUUUUGUGAUAUUUUGAGUUGGGGUUGCUUGGGCCAAAAGUAGUGAUCAACAUAGAAAUAUAUUUAGCUGCUUUGCACUUGUAGUCGGUUUUUCAUAUGUGGAGGCUUUGGAAUGCUUCGGGAAGUGAUGGUCGUGGGGUUAUAGGUACUAUGUUUGCACUAAAGUCUCAAGUUCCUCUUAAUAAUCUUACUUGAAUUUUCACCCCUGAUGCAUUUCAUCACUGCUAAUAGGUGUCUUGGAAGCUAAUUUUGUUGAACCAGCCCAUGAUAAGCAGGGGUUUGAACGAACUACUGUUCUUGCAAGACUUGAGGCACGUUUAAUACAAAUGCAAAAGGACUACUGGUCUGUGGUGCUUUAGUUUUUAGUAGUAGCUGUUUGUUCUGAGUUCCUGGGUUGUUUUUGAGGUUUUACUCCUACUUUAUAUAGGAACAAUAACUGUCAUGAAAUUGGAUAUGCUCCAAGACGUUAUAAGAAAUAUAUAAAAGAUUCUUAUGACAGAGGUAUAUUUUUAUACAGUGUAGAUUACUGCUGCACUUGAUAAAAUCAGUUCUUGCAGUUUCUAAGCCAUACUAACAUAUCUCGAUCUGUAGAAAUCUCUUCUAAGAAGAGUUAUCCCUCAAGGCACAAGAUAACAGAUUCAUCACAUUCGGACAAACAUCAGUUGCACUCAAAUCAGAGAUGGGAAGGAAAAGACUCUAAAAGAUUACCUGAAGCAUCAAAUUAUGGAGAUCGGAAGGGACAUGAGUCCAGCAAAGGCAAAUAUAAGAUGAAGACUCCUGUGAAAUAUAGAGAAGGGGCAAGUGUUUCUGAGCCACUGUCGCCUUCUGCAGAGGAUGCCAGUGAUGAUGACAUGCAUGUUAUGGUAACUGCUAGAGGGGCUAAUGGCAGUAGUCAAAAGAUAUUAGCUGCUGAAAAAUCUUUUGGGAAAGAUGGAUUGCAUAGGACUCAUCCGUCUGCAUGCUUGGUAGACAGUGAAUCUCAGCAAGAUGGUGCUUCUGGUGGAAGUUCUGUUCGACCAUUCAUGCCAUCACAGUCAAAGGUUAUCUUCAAACUUUAUUCCUCUUCAGUGUCUCUCCUCUCUUCGCCCGUGUGUCUGUAGGGGUGCUUUUUGUUCUGUGGAUUGUCUGUCAGUGUGACAAUGUGUCACUAAAUUGAAGGGUAACAUGGCUGUAGAUAGGUUUCUGAUCGCUCUUGUCUAACUCACAGGGAAGUGAAGUGAACUACCCUGAGCAUUUCCUUUCAGACUGUAGUUUAGGUGCUAAUCUAGGUCAGUUGAAGCAAGAGAAUCACGAAUUAAAGAAAAGGUGGGUUAUUCUGCCUUUCUGAAACUUUGAGAUUUGUCUAAUGUUUGUCCUUGUAGUUCAUGGCUGCAUGUCACGUGCAUUUUUAUCUUUCUAUUUCUAGGUU
rnacentral:lncRNA from 1 species